UACGUAGGGGGCAAGCGUUGUCCGGAUUUAUUGGGCGUAAAGAGCGUGUAGGCGGGAUGGCAAGUCGGUCGUGAAAUCCCUCGGCUCAACCGAGGAACGUCGAUCGAUACUGCUGUUCUUGAGGAUUGCAGAGGAGACUGGAAUUCCCGGUGUAGCGGUGAAAUGUGUAGAGAUCGGGAGGAACACCGGUGGCGAAGGCGGGUCUCUGGGCUGUAACUGACGCUGAGGAGCGAAAGCAUGGGGAGCGAACAGG
rnacentral:rRNA from 1 species